GUGUCCCCUGGAGCUGAAGCUACAGGCGGUUGUGAGCCUUCCAGUGGCAAUGUGGCAAGCUGCUACAAGCUCAUGUCUCCAUAGGUCAAGCUACCCCGGCCACCAUGCUUUCCGCAUCAUGAAACCAUGAGCCAAGACUCGCCUUCUCCUUCCAUUGCUUCAGUCAGGAAUCCUGUCAUCCCGAGAAUCCCGAGGAGAAAGAUUUGCCCCAUAGAAAGUUAAGCGUGACGGAUAUGGUGGCUCAUGCCUUUAAUCCCAGCACUCAGGAGGCAGAGGCAAGGAGAUCUGAGUGUGAGGCUAACCCGGUUCCAGGACAGCCAAGUCUACACAGAGAAACCCUGUCGCAAAAGAAAGAAAGAAAAAGAAGAAAAAGAGAAGCAAGUUAAGCUAGUCCUUUCACCAUGUUUCCAUUAAUCCUGAGUAUGUUCAAGUUUGAUUUGUACACAUAUAUGUAGUUUCUGUUUUUCUCCACACUGGAAUCCAUCAUUCCGAUGUAGCCUUGGCUCCUUUUAGGAAAGAAUUGUGCUUAGAAACCAUGAUCGGGUGUUGGGUUUUUGUGGAUUGUGGUGUGCAUUUUGGGGGUGCUAGCUGUGGUUCCGCACCUUCCGUUCCCUGCCUCUCAGCGUGUCCAGAUGCCACUGCACACCGGGCUGGACGGAUGAAGCAGAGUCUGGAAUGGAUGUGGUUCUGCAGGGUCCCGGUCUGGCUGGGAGUAAUGGCGACGGGUAGGGGAAGGCCUUGUCCAAAGAUCUUAGUGUUACAGCUCUUGUAGGCAAAG